rnacentral:rRNA from 1 species
GACGAACGCUGGCGGCGUGCUUAACACAUGCAAGUCGAACGGAAAGGCCCUGCUUUUGUGCGGUGCUCGAGUGGCGGACGGGGGAGUAACACGUGAGUACCCUACCCUUGACUGUGGGGUAUCUUCAUGCAACUGAGGCUCAUACCGCCUAGGAGCUCCUGCUGCAUGGUGGGGGUUGGAUAGUUUCGGCGGUUGGGGAUGGACUCGCGGCGUAUCAGCUUGUUGGUGGGGUAGUGGCUUACCAAGGCUUUGACGGGUAGCCGGCCUGAGAGGGUGACCGGCCACAUUGGGACUGAGAUACGGCCCGGACUCGUACGGGAGGCAGCAGUGGGGAAUAGUGCACAAGGGGCGGAAGCCUGAUGCAGCAACGCCGCGUGCGGGAUGACGGCCUUCGGGUUGUAAACCGCUGUCGCCUGUGACGAAGCGUGAGUGACGGUAACGGGUGAAGAAGCACCGGCUAACUACGUG